AGUUUGUUCGUGUUGUAGCCUGUUAACAGUAGACCAAAGGUAUGAUGAUCAAUUAUAAAUGCAAUAUGGUUGAAAGGUCAGUAAACAAACAACAAAAAGGUAAUUUCUUAAUAGAAUGUCUAUACAUUUUUUGCUUUUGUUACAUAUUUCAUACAUCAAAAUCAUUAAACGUUAAUAAUUAUGUAUUCCAACUUGUUGCAGCUUGACAAAAAUGUAGCUUGAAGGAGAAGGGACAGCUGAGUAACAAAGUCCUGGUACGCAGACGACGAUACUAUUACACUGACAAGAGUGUAAUGAUGAUGGAGACACAAGCCAGAGAAAGGGGGACCAAACACCAGGCCAGAAUUCUGCAUGAGUCAGAUCCAGUGGGUGCAGAUCAUCAUACAGAUGGUUCAAGUGUGGAUCCACCUAAUAUUCAAGAUUUUCUGUCCUGGGACACUUGGCUAACCAUCAAGAAAGAACACACUCCAGUGGGCAUCCUUUAUCCAUCCAGACCCUCAUACAGAUGGUUGGAGUUUUGAUUAAUCUAAAGUACCAUGCAAGAGCACUCAUUUUCCCUCUUGAGACCAUGGUGUGACCUGCAAGGUCGAAUGGAGACUGUAAACGAGACAAUCUUGGAGUCACCUGCAUUCACUGGUCCAGUUGUUAGUCCAAUUACAGAUGGAGAUUAUAGAAGAGGAUGAUGUCUUUUCUCCAACAUCUUUCUAGACUGAUAAAAGAUCUAGACAGGCUUGAACAAAAGUUAACAGAGGGGCUUAUAUAGAGAAUGGUGAGCAGCUACACAUAAAAGAAGAACAUGGAGAAUCUUCCCAGAGGUGUUUA